CCUACGGGUGGCAGCAGUGGGGAAUAUUGGGCAAUGGGCGCAAGCCUGACCCAGCAACGCCGCGUGAAGGAAGAAGGCCUUCGGGUUGUAAACCUCUUUUGAUAGGGAAGAGUAGACGACGGUAUCUGUCGAUUAAGCCAUGGCUAACUAAGUGCCAGCAGCCGCGGUAAUACGUAGGUGGCAAGUGCGGUCAGGAUUUACUGGGUGCAAAGGGCGUGUAGGCGGGUUGACAAGUCAGAUGUGAAAUCCUUGGGCUUAACCGCGGAACUGCAUUUGAUACUGGUGAUCUUGAGUGCGGGAGAGGCAGACGGAAUUCCUGGUGUAGCGGUGAAAUGCGUAGAUAUUAGGAGGAACACCAGUGGCGAAGGCGGUUUGCUGGACAGCAACUGACGGUGAGGCGCGAAAGCGUGGGGAGCAAACAGGAUUAGAUACCCCAGUAGUC
rnacentral:rRNA from 1 species